rnacentral:tRNA from 1 species
UCUAAUGUGGCAGAAUAG